CCUACGGGCGGCAGCAGUGGGGAAUAUUGCACAAUGGUGGGAACCCUGAUGCAGCAACGCCGCGUGAGUGAAGAAGUAUUUCGGUAUGUUAAGCUCUAUCAGCAGGGAAGAAGAUGACGGUACCUGAAUACGAAGCCCCGGCAAACUACGUGCCAGGCGCCGCGGUAAUACGUAGGGAGCCAGCGUUAUCCGGAUUUACUGGGUGUAAAGGGAGCGCAGGCGGCAGUGCAAGUCUGGAGUGAAAGCCCUGGGCCCAACCCCGGAACUGCUCUGGAAACUGUGCGGCUAGAGUACUGGAGGGGUAGGCGGAAUGCGUGGUGUAGCGGUGAAAUGCGUAGAUAUGAGGAGGAACACCAGUGGCGAAGGCGGCCUGCUGGACAGUAACUGACGUUGAGGCUCGAAAGCGUGGGGAGCAAACAGGAUUAGAUACCCCAGUAGUC
rnacentral:rRNA from 1 species